rnacentral:rRNA from 1 species
GAUGAACGCUGGCGGCGUGCUUAACACAUGCCAGUCGAACGGAAAGGCUCCUGCUUGCAGGGGUACUCGAGUGGCGAACGGGUGAGUAACACGUGGGUGAUCUGCCCUGCACUUCGGGAUAAGCCUGGGAAACUGGGUCUAAUACCGGAUAGGACGAUGGUUUGGAUGCCAUUGUGGAAAGUUUUUUCGGUGUGGGAUGGGCUCGCGGCCUAUCAGCUUGUUGGUGGGGUAAUGGCCUACCAAGGCGUCGACGGGUAGCCGGCCUGAGAGGGUGUACGGCCACAUUGGGACUGAGAUACGGCCCAGACUCCUACGGGAGGCAGCAGUGGGGAAUAUUGCACAAUGGGCGCAAGCCUGAUGCAGCGACGCCGCGUGGGGGAUGACGGCCUUCGGGUUGUAAACUCCUUUCGCUAGGGACGAAGCGCAAGUGACGGUACCUGGAGAAGAAGCACCGGCUAACUACGUG